UACGGAGGGUGCAAGCGUUAUCCGGAUUUACUGGGCUUAAAGGGUGCGUAGGUGGGUUGGGAAGUCAGUGGUGAAAUACUUUCGCUUAACGAAGGAACUGCCAUUGAUACUAUCAAUCUUGAAUGUAGUGGAGGUAGGCGGAAUGCGUCAUGUAGCGGUGAAAUGCUUAGAUAUGACGCAGAACACCAAUUGCGAAGGCAGCUUGCUACACUACUAUUGACACUGAGGCACGAAAGCGUGGGGAUCAAACAGG
rnacentral:rRNA from 1 species